CCUACGGGAGGCUGCAGUGGGGAAUAUUGGACAAUGGGGGGAACCCUGAUCCAGCCAUGCCGCGUGUGUGAAGAAGGCCCUUGGGUUGUAAAGCACUUUCAGUGAGGAAGAACGCCUGGUGGUUAAUACCCAUCAGGAAAGACAUCACUCACAGAAGAAGCACCGGCUAACUCCGUGCCAGCAGCCGCGGUAAUACGGAGGGUGCGAGCGUUAAUCGGAAUUACUGGGCGUAAAGCGCGCGUAGGUGGCUUGAUAAGCCGGUUGUGAAAGCCCCGGGCUCAACCUGGGAACGGCAUCCGGAACUGUCAAGCUAGAGUGCAGGAGAGGAAGGUAGAAUUCCCGGUGUAGCGGUGAAAUGCGUAGAGAUCGGGAGGAAUACCAGUGGCGAAGGCGGCCUUCUGGACUGACACUGACACUGAGGUGCGAAAGCGUGGGUAGCAAACAGGAUUAGAUACCCGGGUAGUC
rnacentral:rRNA from 1 species